AGUGUUGAACUUGAAGAAGAUAAUGUCUCCAUCCUCCACAACGUAGUUGCGUCCCCGCUGGUGGUAUUUUCCAGCAGCCUGGGAAGAUAAUGUGUCAUCAGUGGUGGCCUUCAAUGUAAACAGGUGUACUUUCAAGUGUGCAGUGCAACUAUUCAUUCCAAGUGACAUUAUGAGGAGGAAGAUCUUCACAGGCCUCAUCCUGGGUAUGUUCAUUAUAUCUGUAGGUAUUUUUUAUCAAUCAUGAACACUAAAAUGCACUUCCAUGUUAUAGUGCACUUUUCUCCUACAAUAACCUAUUAAUUCUCCUAUCUCCUUGGUGCCUUUCUGAAGAUGAACAUCUCCAUCAUCCUUGACUCAGCCACUCAUUCACUGUCCAAGUUCCAUAACCUUGUGCUGCAUAGGUAACAACAAACAAAAAUUCUUUUCAAUAUCCCUACUAUUCUUCAAUAAUUAACUAUAUUUAUAUAUUGUACUUUCUUCUGUUUUGUGCAAUGGAUAACACAACCUAGAAGGUUUUGUGUGGAUAUGCACCCUGACUUUUUAAUACAUUAAUAAAGAUAUUAAAUAGAUUGUGAAAGCAACUAUAAAUUCAUACAAGAAAUGUGCAUGAAACAAGGCUAUGCUGUGUCUCAUUAUUCAGUGCUCAAGUCAAAUAUGUUUCUCAACCUUCCAACUCAUAAUCUGGUUCACAAUAUACAUAAGCAGCAGAAAUAGACACAUCUUAAUGAACAUGGCAGUAUCAACACUAUGAGAACACAUACCAAUGAUUAUUUAGAAAUACAAAUGACUGUGAUACUUGUUGCUUUAUGAUGGAGAAUUAAAAAAGCAGCAUGAGAAACCUAUGCUGUCGGUGCUUUUUCCUGCACUGUGCACAACACCAUAGGAAAAUAACAUGAAAUGUUUAGCAAAAUAUUCUCAGUUCAAUCAUGGAUCAUCUGUUCAAACUCACUCCCUUGUUAAACCUUCCACUUUUUUUGAUAUGCCAUAUGCUUACAUAUCACUACAUUUUAAGACACUAUGAUUUGGAGAGAGAGAGAGAGAGAGAGAGAGAGAGAGAGAGAGAGAGAGAGAGAGAGAGAGAGAGAGAGAGAGAGAGAGAGAGAGAGAGAGAGAGAGAGAGAGAGAGAGAGAGAGAGAGAGAGAGAGA